rnacentral:rRNA from 1 species
AUUGAACGCUGGCGGCAGGCCUAACACAUGCAAGUCGAACGGUAACAGGAAGAAGCUUGCUUCUUUGCUGACGAGUGGCGGACGGGUGAGUAAUGUCUGGGAAACUGCCUGAUGGAGGGGGAUACCUACUGGAAACGGUAGCUAAUACCGCAUAACGUCGCAAGACCAAAAAGGGGGACCUUCGGGCCUCUUGCCAUCGGAUGUGCCCAGAUGGGAUUAGCUAGUAGGUGGGGUAACGGCUCACCUAGGCGACGAUCCCUAGCUGGUCUGAGAGGAUGACCAGCCACACUGGAACUGAGACACGGUCCAGACUCCUACGGGAGGCAGCAGUGGGGAAUAUUGCACAAUGGGCGCAAGCCUGAUGCAGCCAUGCCGCGUGUAUGAAGAAGGCCUUCGGGUUGUAAAGUACUUUCAGCGGGGAGGAAGGGAGUAAAGUUAAUACCUUUGCUCAUUGACGUUACCCGCAGAAGAAGCACCGGCUAACUCCGUG